rnacentral:lncRNA from 10 species
GCAUCCAGCCUGCAGACAAGGGAAGGGAAAGGGUGGAAACUUGCACAGGAAUUUUCCGUCAGCCAGUCCAAGAGGAGCAUUUUUCACCUCCCCCCGUAUUUCAUUGAUUAAAAUUCAGCCAUGUGGCUCCAUUUACGCGAGGGAGUGGGGCAGCCUGGGGAAGAUGUUUCUCAGCAACAGUGCUACCCUGCUGGACAGCUGGUGAUUUUUACCAUAAAACAAGAUAGUAAUAAGGAUAGAAUGAGACACCACCGGCUUUGCUCCAUCCCUUUGGGAAGACAGCACACCCAGAGCUCAAGUCUGCUGCUCAUUCUGGAAGGGGAGAUGUCCUGGGCCCAGGGUUUGGAAAUGUCUUCUUGGACAAGCUUAAGCCGAACUUGUCUGAGGCAACAAAGAGAGCAAAGAGAAAGAUAAAGAUGGAGUCCUCAAAGAAUAAACAUGAUUAAGAGCAGAGCCCACAGCUCCAGAUGUGAAAACCAUGACUCGAUUGUCAGUGAGGAGAGACUGGUCCCUGGGGUUUGCUGACCUCCCAGGGAGCAAUGCAUUUCAGAGAGCUGUCAGAGCAGUUUUCUUCUUUAAGCCCUGGUUUGUUAAUUAUUAUUUUUUAUUAUUUAAAAAAUGUUUUCUAUCGAUACAUAAUAUUUGUAUAUAUUUGUGGAGCAGAUUUUAGAUUGCAGAAUUCAAUGGUCUAAGGGAGAAGAGAUGAACAAGCUUGAUGUAACAAGGAAGGUUAAGAGUGAUAUUUAAAUGGAAAGGGAAGUAUAUAUUUUAUUGUUUCCUGUUGCUGUAAUAAAUUAUCAAAAAUUGUCAUAAACUUAUAAACUGGCACAUUUAUAAACUCACAAACUUAUAAACUUAUAAACUGCCUUAAAAUAACAUGAAUUUAUUAUUUUACAGUUCUGGAGGUCAGAAGUCCAAGAUGGGUCUCCCUGGGCUAAAAUCAAGGUGUUGGGAGGCUGUGUUCCUUUCUGGAGGCUCUAACGGGGAAUCUGUUCUCUUGCCUUUUCCAACUUCUCAAAGCUGCAUGUGUUUCUUGGCUCGUGACUCCACACCACCCUGAUUUCUGCUUCCAUUGUUGCAUCUCCUUCUCCGACUCUGACCCUUCUGCCACCCUUUUAUGAGGAUCCCUGCUGUUAACAAUAUGUUCAUCAAAUAAUACAGAGUAAUUUCUCCUGCUUAAGAUCCUCAACAUUAUCACAUUUGCAAAGUCCCUUUUGCCAUCUAAGCUGACAUAUCCACAGGUUCCCGGUAUUGAUGUGUGGACACCUUUGGGGCAUGGGCGUUAUUCUGCCUACCAGUUUCCUAUUGCUUCUGUAACAAAUUACCAUAAAUGAAGUGGUUCAAAACAAUGCAGAAGUAUGAUAUUAUGGUCCUAGACAUUAGAAAUGCAAAAUGGGCUUAAGUGGGCUAAACUCAGGGUGUUGUUAGGAAUGCAUUCCUUUCUGGAGGCUAUAGGGCAGAAUCUAUUUCCUUGCCUUUUCCAGUUUCUAGAGGCUACCUGUAUUCAUUGCUUCGUGGUUUCCUUCCAUUUUUAGAGCCAGUAAAGGUCAGUCCAGUCUUUUUCACAUCGCACCACUCUGACACUGACAGUUCUGUAUCCCUCUUCCACUUACGAGGACCCUUGUCAUUCCAUUAGGCCCACCCAGGCAAUCCAGGGUAAUCUUCUGUCUUAAGGUCAACUGAUUAGCAACCUCAAUUCCAUCUGUAACGUUAAUUCUCCUUUGCCUUGAAACCUAACGUUUUUACAAGUUCUGGGGAUUAGGACAUGGAUAUAUUUGGGUGAGGGUCAUUAAUUUCCCUGCCACAAAUAUUAUCCUAUCGGAACUCCUAGUUCAAGAUACCAUUAACUCCAUUUUAUGGGUAAAGAAGCCCACUCAGAAGGGAGGUGCCUUACCCAAGGACACAGUUAUUUUCGGAAGCAGACUUAGAAUAGAACCCAAUUCUCUAUGACCCCAAAGCUUGGCUCUUUCCACUGAAAAUAUUAGAUACUGAAUGUGACUGAAAAUAUGCAGUGUCUAUCAUAGGCUGUAAAGACUGAUUAAAAUGAGAAGGGUCCUAAAGAAGAAUAUGGGAAUGUUCCCAAAAGAUCAGGGAAAGUCUCUUUUGUUGAGAAGCUUCUGAGAAACUAUCAAGCAUGCCAAAGAAGAGAGGGAGCAAGAAAUAAUACAGAAAAAAGAAAAAUAAAAAAAGAUUUCCAUAAAGCUUAGGACCAGGCAAAAGAUUUGGUGCUUCAAAUGCUUCUGCAAAUUUUUUUUGAUGAUGUCAUCAUACUAAUGGGAACUGGGAGAAAAGUUCUUUGAUCAGUGUUUGCAAAUUUCCUAAACCUUGGGUUAGUAUCUGACUGCUGUGUUUUAUUUGAUGUUAAUGAUUGAUAUAGUUUGGCUCUGUGUCCUCACCCAAAUUUCAUGUCAAAUUGUAAUUCCCAAUGUUGUGAGACGGACCUGGUGGGAGAUGAUUGCAUUAUGGGGGUGGAUUUUCCCCUUGCUAUUCUCAUGAUAGUGAGUUCUCAUGAGAUCUAGUUGUUUGAAAGUGUGUAGCACUUCCCCCUUCGCUCUCUCUCUCUCUCCUGCUCCACCAUGGUAAGACAUGCUUGCUUCCCUGUCACCUUCCUCUAUGAUGGUAAGUUUUUGGAAGCAUCCCAGCUAUGCUCCCUGUAC